CCUACGUGCGGCAGCAGUGAGGAAUAUUGGUCAAUGGGCGCGAGCCUGAACCAGCCAAGUAGCGUGAAGGAUGACUGCCCUACGGGUUGUAAAAUUCUUUUAUAAAGGAAUAAAGUGAGGCACGGGUGCCUUUUUGUAUGUACUUGAUGAAUAAGGAUCGGCUAACUCCGUGCCAGCAGACGCGGUAAUACGGAGGAUCCGAGCGUUAUCCGGAUUUAUUGGGUUUAAAGGGAGCGUAGAUGGGUUGUUAAGUCAGUUGUGAAAGUUUGCGGCUCAACCGUAAAAUUGCAAUUGUUACUGGCAGUCUUGAGUACAGUUGAGGUAGGCGGAAUUCGUGGUGUAGCGGUGAAAUGCUUAGAUAUCACGAAGAACUCCGAUUGCGAUGGCAGCUUACUAAACUGCCACUGACAUUGAUGCUCGAAAGUGUGGGUAUCAAACAGGAUUAGAUACCCCUGUAGUC
rnacentral:rRNA from 1 species